rnacentral:rRNA from 1 species
UUAAGGAAACUGCCGGUGAUAAGCCGGAGGAAGGUGGGGAUGACGUCAAGUCUUCAUGGCCCUUACAGGCUGGGCUACACACGUGCUACAAUGGCAUCUACAGUGGGCAGCUAUUCCGCAAGGAUGCGCUAAUCUCCAAAAGAUGUCUCAGUUCGGAUUGUCCUCUGCAACUCGAGGGCAUGAAGGCGGAAUCGCUAGUAAUCGCGGAUCAGCAUGCCGCGGUGAAUACGUUCCCAGGCCUUGUACACACCGCCCGUCACACCAUGGGAGUUGGAUUCACCCGAAGGCAGUGCGCUAACCGCAAGGAGGCAGCUGACCACGGUGGGUUCAGCGACUGGGGU